UACGAAGGGGGCUAGCGUUGCUCGGAAUCACUGGGCGUAAAGGGUGCGUAGGCGGGUCUUUAAGUCAGGGGGGAAAUCCUGGAGCUCAACUCCAGAACUGCCUUUGAUACUGAAGAUCUUGAGUUCGGGAGAGGUGAGUGGAACUGCGAGUGUAGAGGUGAAAUUCGUAGAUAUUCGGAAGAACACCAGUGGCGAAGGCGGCUCACUGGACUGGUAUUGACGCUGAGGUGCGAAAGCGUGGGGAGCAAACAGG
rnacentral:rRNA from 1 species